rnacentral:rRNA from 1 species
CCUACGGGAGGCAGCAGUGGGGAAUCUUGCGCAAUGGGCGAAAGCCUGACGCAGCAACGCCGCGUGCGGGAUGAAGGCCUUCGGGUUGUAAACCGCUUUUAACAGGAACGAAAAUGACGGUACCUGUAGAAUAAGGUGCGGCCAACUACGUGCCAGCAGCCGCGGUGACACGUAGGCACCAAGCGUUGUCCGGAUUUAUUGGGCGUAAAGAGCUCGUAGGCGGUUCAGUAAGUCGGGUGUGAAAACUCUGGGCUUAACCCAGAGACGCCACUCGAUACUAUUGUGACUAGAGUUCGGUAGGGGGGCGGGGAAUUCCUAGUGUAGCGGUGAAAUGCGCAGAUAUUAGGAGGAACACCGGUGGCGAAGGCGCCGCUCUGGGCCGAUACUGACGCUGAGGAGCGAAAGCGUGGGUAGCAAACAGGAUUAGAUACCCUGGUAGUCCACGCCGUAAACGGUGGGCACUAGGUGUGGGGCUCCAACCAACGGAGUCCGCGCCGUCGCUAACGCAUUAAGUGCCCCGCUGGGGAUACGGCCGCAAGGUUAAACUCAAAUGAAUUGACGG